AUUUGCCGCAUUUCUAGAGGAAUAACAAGAGGAGCAUGAGGCGUAAGAGGUAAAUAUUUUAUUAAAAAUAUUGAUUAAGUAUCUAUAUUUAUUUCAUUUAUCUCAUUGUUGAUAUAAAAGUAAUUUUUUUUUCAAUUGUAGGAUUAUGAAGAUUGAUCAAAAUAAUUAUUAUGGUGAUUUAUACUUUGUAAUGUGACUUUUGUAAUGGAUUAAUGUUAAUGUAAGAGAUAUUGUCAAACUUUAUUUUUAUUUGAAUUUUUUAUUUUAAUAUGAUUAAAUUAAAAUCAAAAAUUAAAAAUGUAUCAGUUAUUCAGGAAUCGAGGACCAUCGAGGAUCCCCUAUUAUUAUUCGAAGAGGGGACGAGAAUUUCUUAAAGCAAUUUUGUAGGGGAUGAGGAGGAGACGGAAAUAUAUUUAGAAUAUUAAGGAUGGGUACGGGAAGAUCAGUCUUCUCCCCUCUCCUUCCCAUUGUCAUCCCUAAGUAAUUUGCGUAUCUAUGUUCAAUACAGUUGGCAUCUCCCCCCAUGAAUUAUUAGCUCACAGUGAUGAGGCUAAAAUCAGUAAAAAUAAUUGGAAGGAAAAGAGCUUGUCAACUGAUACGCUAAAAUCAGUAAAAAUAAUUAUGGACUGAUAAAAAAUUAAAAAAGAAGGCAGUUAAAUGCCAAAAUAUAGUUAUGGUGAGAGGCUGUCAACUAAACUAAAUUCAAAGCGAAUCACUAAAGAGAACUGUUAUUUAAAAUUUAAUUAAUGUUUUGCAUUAAAAAAAAAAAUUAAAGAAUUUUAUCUAGUAGUACCCACAAAAAAAAAGUACAUGACUGUUGGCAAACUUCCAUAACUAACAGAUAGGGAUGGCAAUGGGGAGGGGAGGGGAGGGGACCGAUCUCCCCGUACCCAUCCCCGAUAUUUUACGUAUGUCCCCAUCCCCUCCCCGUCCCCGUCAGAAUUACUUGAGAGAAUCCCCAUCCCCUCCCCGAAUAAUAACAGGGGAUCCCCGAGGGUCCCCGAUCCCCGAAUAACUAAUACAUUUUUUUUUCGAUUUUGA
rnacentral:lncRNA from 1 species